AUCGCUUCUCAGCCUUUUGGCUAAGAUCAAGUGUAGCAUCUUCAUGCAUGUAUCUUACAUAGUUUAGAUAAUACCUAAUAAUGUUUUUAAUUCUUAAUUAUU
ensembl:snRNA U2 U2 spliceosomal RNA